GACGAACGCUGGCGGCGUGCUUAACACAUGCAAGUCGAACGGAAAGGCCCUGCUUGCAGGGUACUCGAGUGGCGAACGGGUGAGUAACACGUGGGUGAUCUGCCCUCCACUUCGGGUUAAGCCUGGGAAACUGGGUCUAAUACCGGCUAGGAGCCAUUUUUAGUGUGAUGGUUGGAAAGUUUUUUCGGUGUUGGAUGAGCUCGCGGCCUAUCAGCUUGUUGGUGGGGUAAUGUCCUACCAAGGCGGCGGCGGGUAGCCGGCCUGAGUGGGUGGACGGCCACAUUGGGACUGAGAGACGGCCCAGACUCCUACGGGAGGGAGCAGGGGGGAAGAUUGCACAAUGGGCGCAAGCCUGAUGCAGCGACGCCGCGUGGGGGAUGACGGCCUUCGGGUUGUAAAAUCCUUUCGCUAGGGACGAAGCUUUUUGUGACGGUACCUAGAUAAGAAGCACCGGCUAACUACGUG
rnacentral:rRNA from 1 species